UGCGUGGCAUCUUGCAUGACAGUUCACGUGCAUUGUCUGCAUUUCCUUAUUUUAACAUUUGGCUGAGGCAUUCUAUCAAACACUCCACUGCCUUCUCUAGGAUUCCACAUUUCCCAUAGUGUCUACCAGAGCAUUUCAUCAUGCUUUCAUUGAUAUCCAUAUGUUGUUCCAAUGCACCCACUUCAGCACAAGUAAGGAGGAAGCUGGCAAAGAUUAUCGAUUUUGUCUAUAAAUACCCACCAAUUGCUAUGUUCUACUCGUAACUAGUUUAUUGAUAGAUAUAAUCUUUGUGUCAGAAAAGAGCCUUGGAAGCAUUUCGUCUGGAUCAACUAAAAUGAGGAGUUGAAUGCUCUAGGUCUGUUUAAGCUCAUAUUGAACCUUAAUAAUUUCAACUCCAAGGAGAGGAGGAAGAUCAGGUACGCAUAUUUUUUGUAUUUAUGUGGUGUCUAGUAUUUGACUUGGUCUAAUAUUCUCAUUAGAUUAAUGCUAGAAAUGAAUUUGAGAAAAUCCACAGCUUUGGCUAAUAUUCUAUCCAAGCUCUUAAGUCAAGUCUUAUGAUUAGAAUUUUUUAACCUUCUUUUAUGACAUUUUAUAGCAUGUCAGUAGGUACCUUGAAUGUUGGAGGAAGGCUUCCCCCAAAUGGUUAAAGUUGACGAUUUCAAACUCGCGACCUUGUGUUUAUGCAACUUUGAACUUAGGGUCGUUAUUGGCAGCUUUUGAUGUUUUGAUUGUAAUUGUGUUUAAUAUCAUUAUAUAAUGGAUAUUUACAAGGAAAUGGUCUCAUCUUCUAUCAAUGGCACAUAUAUAUGUGAACUGUGAGCUUUUUUAUUGUGUAUUAGACAAGUGGUGGUUAUGUAAUCCGGUUUGAUGUUUUGAAUGUAAUUGUGUUUAAUAUCAUUAUAUAAUGGACAUUUACAAGGAAAUGGUCUCAUCUUCUAUCAAUGGCACAUAUAUAUGUGAACUGUGAGCUUUUUGAUUGUAUAGUAUACAAGUGGUGGUUAUGUAAUCUGGUUUUCAUUUCAUCCUAUUUAUGGUGAAAACAAUGUUCAUAGUGGAUCAAUGUUAUAGUCCAUCUGUGAUCAUAUCAUGACA